UACGGAGGAAGCAAGCGUUUAUCCGGAAUUACUGGGCGUAAAGAGUUGCGUAGGUGGCAAAGUGUGUCAGUAGUGAAAGAGUGUGGCUCAACCAUAUAAACAUUACUGAAACUGCUUAGCUAGAGGACGAGAGAGGUUAUUGGAAUUCCCAGUGUAGGAGUGAAAUCCGUAGAUAUUGGGAGGAACACCGAUGGCGUAGGCAGAUAACUGGCUCGUUCCUGACACUAAGGCACGAAAGCGUGGGGAGCAAACGGG
rnacentral:rRNA from 1 species